rnacentral:rRNA from 1 species
UACGGAGGGCGCGAGCGUUGUCCGGAAUCACUGGGCGUAAAGGGCGCGUAGGCGGCCCUGGUAAGUCUGCGGUGAAAGCCCGGGGCCCAACCCCGGGUCGGCCGCGGGUACUGCCGGGCUGGAGUGCCGUAGGGGCAGGCGGAAUUCCGGGUGUAGCGGUGGAAUGCGUAGAGAUCCGGAAGAACACCGGUGGCGAAGGCGGCCUGCUGGGCGGCGACUGACGCUGAGGCGCGACAGCGUGGGGAGCAAACAGG